rnacentral:lncRNA from 1 species
UACAAAUCUGAAUAUGCCUUAUUUGUUUUAGGCCUCGUCUGUAAGAAAUCAAAGGAGGCCAGGAGGAAAGUAAAAUGCGCAGAUGGAUUUUGGUGGCUCAAUGCUGUACAGAACCUGCCCCCGAAUUCCAGACCCAGGAACUCCUUCCAAAGUACCAUGCUAAGCAUUCUGAACCCAGCCAGCAUGGAUGCUCCUUUUUUGCUGCAUUGACGCUCUGCACCUCCCAUGAGCACUGGUUGCCAAGUCACUCUGUCUCUUUUAAUGCCAGCCAUGAGAAGCAUGCACAAUUAUACUAAGCAAAGUGUCUCUCUGAGAAGCACUUGAAGAUCAGGCUCACAGACUAUUGAAAAGUGUGAUGAUUAACUUUAUGUAUCAGUUUGAUUUGGCUUAGUGAUUCCUAGGUAGCUGAUAAAACAUUUAUGCAUGUGUCUGUAAGGAGGUUCUGGAAGACAGAAGCAUCUGGAAGAGAGUGAAAUUCUGUCUGUCUGUCUCCUUCUGAGAUACAAUGUUCAUCUUCUCAUUCUUGCUCUUGGAGCUUGGAUCGUGUUUUGAACUGAAGUAGCCCUGAUUCUCAGGUUUUUUGACUCAGAAUGAAUUCUGCAUUAUACUACUGGCUUUCUUCAUCUUGAAGUUUGAACAGGGCAUAUUUGAAGGCUUCUUGGACUUCAUAAUUUUGUAAGGCAGUUUCCAUAAUAAAUCUCUUAUAAUCUCA